rnacentral:lncRNA from 1 species
CUCAGUGGCUCCUUGUAAUGAUCUAAAUAUAGACACCUCACCUCCAGUUCAGAGCAGAGGAACGAUGCUGCUUUGCUGACUCCUUGCUGUGGCAUGCUUGGUCCAAGGCCAGAGGAUGAGUUCAAGUUGUGCCAUGUGGCUGGCCUGCCAACUAUCACUGGGAGAGACCGUCUUCCAGGAUCUGAAGUUCCUACUCCCUGGGAUGCUACCAUUAUGAGAGGAGAUAAAAAUGAAGAGUGUGGUGUGACUGACACAUUCCUAAGUGCAUGGCUGAAUGUGUCCAGGAGAUGGCUGGAUUAAAGGAUGACUAUGCUGUGCUGCAGGACUCUGUUGUUCCUGUAAGGCUCACCUUGCUAGAAAGGAGCUAAGGUAACCUGGUCCUCUUGUGGAACACACAAGGGCAACUUAAGACCUGGAGGGGCUUUUACCCACUAACAACAUCAAGAGGCCUUUUACAACACGAGGUGGAGUUGGUAUUGGUCAGGACAGAGAAGUCACUCGCUGCCUCUGUUUAUCUUUCCAUUCUAAGGUAACUAAAGGCCAAGGCUUGUUCCUUACUCCAAACUGUUGAUCGAUAGGCUGAGAGGUAUGUGGAUAAUAUGGAGGGUUUAGAGUGAAAGGAAGUCAAACACACAGAGAUGGAGGAUAAAGCGGUAGUUACCAGAGACAGAGAGGGGAAGAACUGGGAAGACGAGGGUCAAAGGAUACCAUGCUAGGGCCAGAUGGGAAGCACAGGUCUCACGACUGUAGUUAAUAUUGUAUUGUAGUUUGGAUAUUUGCCAAAACAGAUUGUCCGUCUUCUUGGCACUCACACAGAAAGGGUGGCUACACGAGAUGAUGGAUGUGUUAACUUAUUUGGCUAGAGUGGUUAUUUCACUAUGUAUAUCAAAACAUCACAUCAUAUAUUCUAAAUGUGUGUAAUCAAGUACAUAAAUAAAG